CUAAAAAAUAAUUGUUUUUCCUUUGAAACCAAAAAAAUAAAAUAUUAUUGGGGUAUUGUAUUACGUUUCAGUUAUACGCGUUAUAUGCGAUAUGCGUAUAAGGUGUAUUUAAGAAGUAAUGAUCUCAAAAAUCAGAAAUCGGCAACAUUGCAUAAACUGUGACACUACUGAGCAUACAUAUAUCUCUAUCAUUAGUAUCAAUUUCAACUCAGUUGAAUUAAUGUGAGCAAUUUCGCAACGAAUUUGACAAAAAUAUGUUUUAUUGACGCCUUACGGAAAUGGAACAGCGACAAUGCAUAUUAUUUCCUCUCACACUAUACUCUGUAAAUGAAUUUUUGGCCAACAAAGAUAUUCCGGAACAAUUCGUGUAUGUAAAGAUAAUGCUGUCAUCAUACUAAAGUUUUUUCGCAUACUAUCCGUCAAACCUAUGCACACAUAUACAUACAAUUUUCCAAUAAUAUUUAUUAAUAUAUAUAUUUUCAUAAACUUUCUCGAUAUUAAAUAUACUCACCUGUUGCACGACACAAUUCAGGAAUUAAAUAAACUAAGUUUUCCCUUUGACUUGGUAGAUUACGUGUUUUUUGUUUCCCUUCUGCAAGGAGCAUAGGUUGUUUUAUUUUUUUUAAAGUUAUAUUAUAUCUAUUCUGAUAGUAAUCCUUAAAUCUUAUGGAUUCUCCCGUUUUUGAUAGUAUAAAUGUAUCCAUUGGAGUUAGUGUGAAAUCAACGUCCCUGAUCCGAUACGUAUUGUUGUUGUGAUCAGUAAGUACAAUACAUCCUAUGACUUCUUCACAAAACAUCUAUAAACGUACAUUUAGUUAUUACCAUUUAUUAGUAUUUUAAAGAUACUGAAAGUCAUUUGUUACAUUACUUGUUGAAUUUUUGUUUUACUGUCCGACUUUUUUCUUUUACAAUUAUACCAAAUGUCUAAAAGUGUAUCCAGACGCAUAAUUUUAUGAGUUAUAUCCACGCACAUAAGAAUGUUUUCUUUAUGUUGUCUAAUAGAUGUGAAGAUACCUGACAACACUUCCAAUUUAUAGUGAUCAAUUCGUUUCUGUUAUUAAAAAAUAUAUGGUAUUGUAAAUACAUAAAUACGUAAAAAUAGAUAUGUAUGUAUUGUAUUAUUUAAAUCCAUAGGAAUUUAUAUAUAAAUAUAUUUUUACACACACACAUACAUACAUACAUACAUAUUGUACUUUUAUCUUUAUGUAGUACCUUUUAUUACUAUUGCAGUACUUUAUAUAUAUAGAACCAGAAAACUACAUUAUGGGUCUGAUUAAUUGAGCAGGAACUAGACUCGCAGAAUUGGCUCAAGUAAAUAAAUAAAAAUAUUUUGUAAGAUUAUCAAUUUUUUGCUCUGCUAUACAUAGAAUAGAAAGAGAGGUGCUAAGAAACAUGGCGAUUAAGACACAAAGAGAGUAAAAUAAUAUCAAGACUAUUUAUGCUUUUAAACAGGACAGUCUGAGGACAAUUGACAAAUGCCAGGUAUCGACAGUAGAGUCUCUCUCGUUCAGACUGUUGUAAUCUACUUAACGAUGAUCCACGCCGCAGCAUUCUAGACCUCGAUGGCCGCGGUGUAAGGCUGCGAUGGUCCAGGUUGCGAUGGUCCAGGCUGCGAUGGUCCAGGCUGCGACGGUCCAGGCUGCGAUGGUCCAGGCUGCGAUGGUCCAGGCUGCGAUGGUCCAGGCUGCGAUGGUCCAGGUUGCCACACUUCGGUUUGCUGUGGUGGAGGUUGCCAUUCUUCAGUUUGGUAUGGUGGAUGCUGCCAUCCUUCAGUUUGGUAUGGUGGAUGCUGCCAUCCUUUAGUUUGCUGUGAUGGAUGCUGCCAUCCUUCAGUUUGCUGUGAUGAAUGCUGCCAUCCUUCAGUUUGCUGUGAUGGAUGCUGCCAUCCUUCAGUUUGCUGUGAUGGAUGCUGCCAUCCUUCAGUUUGUUGUGGUGGAGGCUGCCAUCCUUCAGGUUGCGAUGGUGCAUGCUGCUGUGAUAGAGACUGCAAUAGUCUUCUAGGCUGGUAUCUUACAGUCCGCCAUGCUUCAGUUUGCUGUAAUUCAUGCUGCCAUAUUGCAGUUUGUUCGGGCUGCAUUGUUGCAGGGUGCCACGUUGGAUGCUGCCAUCGAUGAGAAUGCAUUGGUGUAUACUGCCAUGGUUGCCGCGAUCUAGGCCGCAAUGGUGUAAACCGCCGUGAUUUAAUCUGCGGUGGUGCAGACCGCCAUUGUAGAGUCUGCGGUGGUGCAAACUGCCGUGAUACAGUCUGCUGUGGCGCAGAUUGCCAUGAUCCCGACGGUGGAGUAUGCCAUUCAGAUUGCGACGACUCAGACUGUGACGUUUCAAUCUGAAUCGUUCGAAGUGUUCUAGACUGCCGUGGUGUACCUUGCCAUGGUACAGGCUGGUAUGGUGUACUCCGUGAAGAUUGACCUUGAC